rnacentral:rRNA from 1 species
AUACGGAGGGGGUUAGCGUUGUUCGGAAUUACUGGGCGUAAAGCGCACGUAGGCGGACUGAUCAGUUGGGGGUGAAAUCCCAGGGCUCAACCCUGGACCUGCCUCCAAUACUGUCAGUCUUGAGAUCGGAAGAGGUGAGUGGAAUUCCUAGUGUAGAGGUGAAAUUCGUAGAUAUUAGGAGGAACACCAGUGGCGAAGGCGGCUCACUGGUCCGAUACUGACGCUGAGGUGCGAAAGCGUGGGGAGCAAACAGGAUUAGAAACCCUUGUAGUCC